GGCCGGGGGACGAGGGAAGAACUUCCUGCGCCUCCCCGCCUCCCCGCGGCCCUCCCCCCGGGCCGGGGCUCCUCGUUCCUUCCCGAGGGCAUCCCCGUCCCCAGAGGGCCGGGCUGGGACCCUCGGCCAGGCUUUCUGCGCCCCAGGAAGAGGGAAGCCGGAACGCAGGGAGGUCUUUGCCGCCAGCUUCCAGACCUCUGAAGCGGCGAGUGGAAAAAAGUAAAAGUAAAGACAAAUGGCCGGGAUAAGAACACCAUUUAUCCCUUUAACAAACACUGUAGGGACCGAAUGCCUCCUGAGUCGGGCACUGUUCUAGGGCUGCAGACAUGAAACGAGGCAGAAGUCUCUGCCCUCGUGAAGCAUGCCUCAAAUUAGUUGUCAAGCAAGUGCCAGGGCAGGCGGAGCACGAAGAGCGCCCACACCUCCUGUCCGAGAGCCGAGGCGAACGACGGGCCAGAAGAGUGCCUGGCCCAGGGAGCUCAUGAAGAAACACUCGUGACUGACUGACAGGUUUCUGGAUUGGAGUCACUUACAUUCGCCCUGGAAUUGCAGCAUGGAGAUUUCUGUUUGAAGAUGAUCAUCACCGUGUAUACCCACGUUCAGCAUUCUCAGCCCUGAAGGGGGAAGAGACGUCCCAUCCCUCAGAAUCUGUGUGGUCCGGCACACGAAUCGACUGUCACCUAGUCUGUGAAGUGUAGUAGCUUCUUUUCAUUUUACAUCUUGCAGAGCUGUUAUCACAUUACUACCUCUUUGAUUGAAAUGUCCGCAAUGGAGUUUCUACAAACGACGGAUAAAUUAAUUAACGACAACUCUGUGCAGAACUAUUAAUACAAUCCCCAUUUUAAGGGUGAGAAACUGAGCCCCAGGAAGGCUUUGUAACUUGACCAGAGUCACAUGUUUGUGAGUAGCAAAACCAAGCAGGACCCUGCGGGGCUCCUGGUCUCGGAAGCCUUUCUGUCCCCCAUUUCUUGUUGGUAGGGAGCAGGCUCCAGCGUCCAUGGCCUUCCCACGGAGGUUCAAACAGUUGCUAAUCAGGGAAGGGAGGGGAUGCAGAGACAAAGGAAGAGCAGCCAAGAAACAAUGGUGCAGCCUCGGGGCAGGGUCCCGUUCCCCCUCCAGGGAUGCACAGAACAAUGUGUUUGAGUUGUUUACAGAACUAAAACCCCCAUCAAAUGGAAGAUGAAGCAUUCUUCAUUCCAGAAGACGGGAAGCACGGAAGCUCAUCAGGAGACCUCCUGAGGCCAGAUUAAAGGAGCGCAGGCCUGGCACACACCCUGGUCCUUAUCAGCAACCCCACCCUGGAGCCAUUGCUAUAAAACUCCUCACCAAAGCCUCCCGGGUUGGGACACACAGUUUUCAAAGGCAGGAGCCUGCUGUGUCCCCCUUUGCCUGGAAAAGUAAUAAAGCUCUUCUUUUCUACUUCACCCAGCUGUGUCUCCAAGAUUCCAUUCGGCACCGGUGCUCGGAGGCGGCGUUUUCUGCAUCCGUAUCGAAGCCAGAAUUGGAAUGCGGGUACUUGGUUCCCGCGCUGGCACUUUAAACCAUCACGUUUUCAUUCCUCCACGAGUGUCUCCAAAAAGACAUUUCAGACUUAUGAAACGUACAUUUGUAUUAAGCACUUUGGUGUUUGUUUUAUGACUCCACACCGUUUUAGUCAUAAAUAUGUAACUUAAAAAUUCUACUGCCAACAACAAACAUACAUCAUUUUGAUUCUGGUCUCACAUCAAAAGGACAGUGCCCCAAGCCUACAGGAACUAGGCGCUCAGUCAAUGAAACCGUCACGGUGUCUUAGAUGGAAUACCCUUUUUAGUGGCUAUAGAAACGUGAAAUGAAUCUUCUGGAACCAUCCAAAGGGAAAAGGGUCUGUUGCCCUGAUUCUUAGCGAGAAGACUUUGCCAUAAAAUCGCCAUUACUGUGUUCCUGGGUCUGACAACCUGUGAUGAAGGAAAAUCAUAAUUUGUAUUCAAAUCAGUUUCUGAAGGACAGAACGAGGAAAAAGCAAAGGCAGUGAGGUGACUAACUUGUUUCUGGGGAAAGGUGAACGUUCUAAGUAGGAGACAGAGUUUCUGCUGCCGCUAACCUUGAGGUCAUCGUGGACUUGACCAAGACGGCAGUCUGUCGGGAGCUUCGAUGCGUGCGCGCUGCUGGACCCAGGAAGCUACAAGAUGCUGAAAUGAUACAUCUGCAGCUGACAUGGUAUGGAGUUUCCAAGCACUGCCUCAUGUAAAUGUCCCUCAUGAAGUUGAUCAGGCAGAAAACUUCGCAGGAGAAAGCAUAAAAGGAACCAUAAAGAGGACUUGGAAUGCAUUAUGGAUACAUCUGAUUUGAGUAUGCGGGCCAAAAUCAUUUUUAAGCGCUGUUCUAGGUCCUGGGAGACGAUUGACAGUAGCCAGGCUGAAGCCCUGAGAAUCUGUAAUAUGUAGACUUUGGGUCGAGAAGAACAAUUGAGAAAAGGGGUCUAAGAAGAGCCUGUCUUGUUAGGUGUAACAAACACAAGACAUGUUGUCAGGAGAGCUGGGGAGAGAGUACGCGUUCAGUUGUUAGAGUAAAAGCUCGCUGUGUCUGGUUUACUAACAUCCUACAAAACAUCACCUCAGUCCAAGGGACCUUUUUCAAAGUAAAGCAGGUGAGACAAUGGGCAUAUGAUAAUAGAAUCCACUGAUCUCGUCAUAUGUAGACUGACCUGGAUGCUCUUGGUCUGACAGAAGUUGGAAUAGCCUCAGAGAAAAGUAAAUAAGGUGCCAACUUAAAGAUGAUAGCCUGCAGAGUUGAGGCUCUGACCUUCAGGAUGUGAUAUAUACCUUAAACCUAUGGCCAUUCCAUGGAGCUGUGUCCCUGGUAGUGAAAAUAUAUGGUUUCAGAAUCAAGGGUAGAAGGAAGGGAGGCUCUAGUAAACUCGUGGUCUUCCUCCUGGGCUUGGGGGGAGAGCAGCUACCAGAGGCAAUAUUGAUGCUACGAAAGCAUCCCUCCCUCCUGGUCCUUUUGGGCUCACCAUGCCCACAUUCCAAGAGUAAAGGAAAGGAGUUUCCUGUAUUCACUGGAGGAAUUAAGUGGCAUUAAUCACCAUAAGGAGACAAGAUCGCUGUCCUAAUGGAGCACGAAGGAUCGAGUCUGAAACUCAGAAGAUAACUUCAGUGUCCUGCGUCACUUCCACAGCCCGCCAGAGCAGUGAGCGGGCAAUCGCCCCAUCUCACAAGGCGUAAUAACCAGAGGCUCCGACCUCGCAACAGGGAGGCUUGUGUUACUCCACUGGGAAAGCGAACUGGACCACCAGAGGUGAUGGCCGUGCGCGAGCAGUAUCUUGAGUGAUGUGUUGAACCACUGAGCCCAAAAGAUGCGGCAGGGACCGUACCUCGUUCCACAAAUCUUCCUGCUAGAAUCUUUCCAUUGGAAGUGGUGGUCAGACACCACCUUGAAGAAGCAGUGAGGGGAGCGGAUGAGCUGAUCAAGGGCCAUAAUUGGAUCUGGAUAGUACCCCAUCCUCAUCCCAGCCUUCCCAGGGCUGACUUCUGAUUGCCGGCACACGCACCUUUUGACUGAGUGCUUUCUUUUAUUUUCUGUUUGUAUACAAAGUCUUUUUUGCUUUUGCUUAAUGAUAGUAGUUAAGAAGUUAUAAACCUAAAAAAUAGAUCUGCCAUAACACCUGCCCCCAUCAUAAUCACCGCUAUGUGGUCAUUGUGCUAACAUGGCCGAUAGGCAUGCUACUUGUUGGAUCGUCCAGCAUCGCAGUGCAAAGCAGACAUAAGCACGGUGGCCACAUACAACAUCAGUGUUUGUGUUUGCAUUUGUAGGGAAGCCAGUUUCAUUGUAAGAAAAGCAAUCUGUGAUGAGGAAUAAGAGACAAAAUAGAACUUGGUGUGUAGAACAGACAUAUAAUUUGGAACUGAACUCAUGAAAAGCUAGUAGCUUCUGGAAGUCAUUUUUUGAGCUGGGGUCCAAUCCUUGCACAGUGGUACCAGGUAUGUGGAUAGUUAACAGUGGAGCUGAACAAAUAGAGUAGGCUACAAAUAAUAUAUACUUGUCAACCGAUCGGUCCAUAUAUCAUUUAACAAGUUCUGGUAACUAGCAUUUUAAUAAGCAGGACUCUUUUAUACAUGAUUCCAAAAAUCUUGACUGAGUGUUUUCUUGGUGAUCAGAACUGCACGGAGGCCAGAAGUACUGAGGAAUCAACUCUCCAUGGUUAGUUCUUAACCAGUCUCUAGUGGAAGUUGGUGUAUAAAUAUCCCAGCUCCUUUGUCCCUCAAGUGGAUCAACGCUGAGUUUAAGCCGUAUUGGCUGCUAGAAUCCCCAAGGGAUUAGGUUCUGCUUACACAAUGGUAAUCUGCUUGUAAAAUAUUCUUAUGUGGUUUAACUUUCCUAUUUCCCUAUCGGUGCUCGUUGAGAUCACUUUUUAAACUUAUUGCACUUUAAGCCUUGUCUCAGGGUUUGCUUCUAGGGGACUGUAAGCUCUGAGAAUAUGUCCAUCGGUAUGGAAGGAGCAUCAUAGUCUGACUCAGAUCACUGGACCCCUAAAGCUUCACCGAUGUGCCAGGCCCCCGAAUCUGUGUCUUAUUGGGGCAUCCAGAGAACUUACCAGUUCCUGCUCACCAAAUCGGAGGAAUCGGCCCCAUGAUCUAAUAUAACAAAGCACUCGGUGUUACCUGUGCCUAAUAUAAAACGAAUCUGUUCCAUGAGUCCGGUAUCAAAGCGGCCAAAGGAUUUACCAAUUUGUCCAGCCCUAAAAAUCAGCCGUGGUGCUGGAGCCGAUUCAUAGAUGUUUCCUGCUGGCCCAGGGGUAGAUCUUAUUGCUGGAUUUUGG